rnacentral:rRNA from 1 species
GAGUUUGAUCCUGGCUCAGAUUGAACGCUGGCGGCAGGCCUAACACAUGCAAGUCGAGCGGAUGACGGGAGCUUGCUCCUUGAUUCAGCGGCGGACGGGUGAGUAAUGCCUGGGAAUCUGCCUGGUAGUGGGGGACAACGUUUCGAAAGGAACGCUAAUACCGCAUACGUCCUACGGGAGAAAGCAGGGGACCUUCGGGCCUUGCGCUAUCAGAUGAGCCUAGGUCGGAUUAGCUAGUUGGUGGGGUAAUGGCUCACCAAGGCGACGAUCCGUAACUGGUCUGAGAGGAUGAUCAGUCACACUGGAACUGAGACACGGUCCAGACUCCUACGGGAGGCAGCAGUGGGGAAUAUUGGACAAUGGGCGAAAGCCUGAUCCAGCCAUGCCGCGUGUGUGAAGAAGGUCUUCGGAUUGUAAAGCACUUUAAGUUGGGAGGAAGGGCAGUAAGUUAAUACCUUGCUGUUUUGACGUUACCGACAGAAUAAGCACCGGCUAACUCUGUGCCAGCAGCCG